GACAAAUCUGAGAUGCAUUGCUGAACGUUCCAUGGGAUCAAGCAACCAGAAGCAAGCUUGCUCUGCUGCUUUCUCUCCUUUCUGUCCCCUGCUUGUCUCUCAGUCACAUGCCGGUCACAUUCCCAAUUCAAGGACUCUUGCAUGAGCCUGUGUCCAGGACACGACAACAACUCACUUGCUCUAGUUGCCUACACAACCUUAAUUUAUGUUCCUCUCAGUCCCUUGAGUGUGCUCUCCUACUACCCUUGCCCUCUUUUUCUGUUAAAGUCUUAGGUCACAGUGGUCCUCUCUGACCUCUCCCUCUCACAGCACCAUGUCCCCUCCCUUUGCAGAGCUGGUCUCAAUGCACCCAAUUCCCACUCAUUAGCUGAUUGCCACCACAGUCUGUGCUGGGCAGAGUAAUUCACCCCAGGGCACCCCAGGCAUGGUGACUCAGGUACUGUUUGGGAGCAGCCCAUCGUCACCUUUGAGAAUUUCUCUGAGAGAAAGACUGAACACAAGCAGGGGAGAGGCAGAGAG